rnacentral:rRNA from 1 species
AUACAGAGGGUGCGAGCGGUUAAUCGGAUUUACUGGGCGUAAAGGGCGCGUAGGUGGUUAUAUAAGUGAGAUGUGAAAUCCCUGGGCUUAACCUAGGAACUGCAUCUCAUACUGUAUGACUGGAGUAUUGUAGAGGGUAGUGGAAUUUCCGGUGUAGCGGUGAAAUGCGUAGAGAUCGGAAGGAACACCAGUGGCGAAGGCGGCUACCUGGACAAAUACUGACACUGAGGCGCGAAAGCGUGGGGAGC